GACAAGGGACGGCGCGCGGGAGCUUGCUGAUUGGCUCUUCGGAAGCCCACUUUCUCCGCGGGCCACACUGAUAUUAUACCUUCAUUUUAAGGAGGGAAAGGAGAUCUUUGAGAUAUACUUGACUCCCACAGGCAGGUGGUUCUGAUAAAGCCCCUCGGUCCAGAUGGAGGCAGCUCCGUCCUGGGCUGUCCCAGGAUGCCUCGCCUGCUGUGUACAAAGACUCCCUGCUGGGACGCCUGCACGUCUAAAUGAGAGACGUCCGGUAAUGUGCUGCAGUUUGCAGGCAGGUCUUUAGGGACCUGGUGUAUAGUAUGACGGGGGGUGGGGCAGGUGACCUGGAUAUCGAGACCCCCAUGGAGGGUUGAUUUCAGAGGGUGAAAACCAGAGGGUGUGACAGAAAAUGCAGUGCUAAUGCACUUGGACAUCAUGUUUUUGGGGGAAGAAAUAAUUUUGGGGAAGCUGUUUAUUUUAGCAUAGCAUUUUAUUUUAAAAACACCAAAACCUCUCUUUAAUAAUAUAUGAAUCACUGCCACAUGUAUUUUUCCCAUGUCUUUACUGACACAAAGUGUUGGAACAUCACACCAAUGAUGCUAAUGACGAGUAGCAUCGUGUUACUUACUCCUGCAGUGAAUGCUAACAAUUAGCAUCUACUGUUUACAUCCAGUUUUAACCAGUAUAAACAAACUUUAACUGUCGGUUUACUUAUGAAAAUGUUCCCUAGGAUUUUGUGCUAACCGGUGAAGUUGCCCCCUUCUGGCUAAUCCUUACAACUGUUACUCUUUAUCCAUCCGUGCACAGUCUUUCAUUGUGUUGCUUACAAUCAAACAGACAGAUGCAGCCAGAACUAAAACCUCCUUGGCAGCAGCUAACAAUCUGGCAACGACGUGAGAGGAGGAAAAAAAAAGGAUGAAAUCUAAAGGAAAUAAAUAACAGGUGUGUGUCGAGGCGGGAGUAUGUAUCUGAUUGGUAAUCUGAAACAGGUGAGCAGGUGGAUCUGGUAACAAAAGGAAAAUGUGGAUUAGAGGAGUGUGACAAGAGGCCUUUGGAAGCAGCUAAGACAGAAAUCACAGCAGAAAAUGAGGAACAGCAGCGUGUUUUCAAUCCUCCGACUUCAUCCCAGUCUGACGACCAGAGCCAAUAAAAUCCCAGGACGCUUCCUCUCCGGCCUCUUCGUUGUGACAUCUACUACUUGUACCACAUACUGGGCUUUGUCAAAUCGUAUUCCAAACAGUUGAUGCUGCAUUUUCUUUGUCUUUUUUUAUUUUUUUUGGCUAGUUAGCAUGAGCAGGUACAGCUGUGGAAAUCAAAAGAGGAGAGAGAACAAACCAUCUGGAGUCAGAGGCUCACUGUGGGCUAAGGUUUCGGCGCUAUUUCCCCCAUUUCUGUCCCGAGACAAGAAGGCUUUAAGUUUCACUUCUGGACUUUGAGUUUUUGGCUACAUUUCUAACGGACGAGUCUUCAGCAGUGACGUUCCAGCUGUGAUGUCACACACCACCCAGAGGAACACAACAUCCCUGCUGCUGCCUCCGUACCACUGUGGGUCCAUAUUGUAGCGGUUAUCGCGCCUGCUUUACACAUACAGAAGGACCAGGGUUCAAGCCCCGGAGGAACCAUACACCUAAAGCAACUCAAGUAAGUGGCUUAA